CUAGCGCAGGCGCCUGAAGCAGCUUCGGGCUCUUCAGGCUCCAGACGCUGUCCUGCUCUCACCCCUUGGAAACCGUGUGUCCAGCUGCCCCAAGGACACUUUCACUGCGCACGGUGCCCGGAGGUAUGUGUAAGCUGGUGCUGGUGGAGAUCAGAAGAGGAGGCCGAUUCCUCGGGAAUGGCUAUACAUAGUUGUGAGCUACCCUGUGGGUCUUCAGCAAGAACAAGUGCUCUUAACCCCCAAGCCACCUCUCUGGUUCUCAGUCACAAGGCUGGAAUUUAACGUUAAAGAAAACUUGGAGAUUUACUAUGGCACAUGGAUUUGCCUUUUACAGACUCCUGGGAGAAGCAGGUGCUGACCAUGAGGAAAUGGAUAGUCAUGCCCUUGGAACUUUUGAAAACCUUUCUUCAAAUGGCGUCACAUGGAUACAAUUCUCAUAAAAGCUGUAUGGCCAAUGGUCAAAUAAGGAAACAAUAGAAACAUGCUGGGAAGGUCCAACUUUGCUCACCCUGCUGACAGACCCACCUGUGCAGCACUCUUGGAAAUGCUUUAUCCUCUGAUUUUAGAACUAACUUCCUUCCUUCCUUCCUUCCUUCCUCCCUCCCUCCCUCCCUCCCUCCCUCCCUCCCUUCCUUCUUCUCUUCCUCUUCCUCUUCCUCCUCUUCUUCCUCCUCCCCCACUCCUCCUUCUCCCUUUUCUUCUUGUUAACCUUUAUUUACUUGUGGUGGUGAUGGUGUGUUUAUGUGUAUCACAGGACAACUCGUGAGAGUCAGUUCUCUUCUACCAGUUGAGUCUGAGUUGAACUUGGUGGCGAGUGCCUUUAUCUGAUGAACCAUCUCACAAGCUCUAUUUGGGAACUUUUUUAGCAAAAAGACAGGACCUAGGUGGAUGACCUUCUCAGCCCUGCCAAUGAUCUAGACCAGGAGGCAGUAAUUAUAGUAUUUGUAUUUUCCCCACUGCACUAAGAACAAUGAAUAUGUCCAACAAUCACCAAAGUCUGUCUGGCCCCUUUCAGUUGCUGACUUUGUAAAGGAAGAUGGAGUGGCAUUGCUAGUUAAUAAAAUAAAUCUCAAUCUUUGUAUUCUUCAUACCCA